rnacentral:lncRNA from 1 species
UGAUAAAAAAAAUUUAUUCUAUAGGGAGCCUACAGUCAGGCCUAAGAUCUCCAACCUCACUUCUUUCGAGUUUCACAGUCAUUGCCAUGGUUUGGGUGCGGCAAAGUUCCCCAAGGGUACGUUUGAACCCUUGGCCAAUACCAAGCACCCAAAAUAUCAUAAUUAGACAACUGCAAGUUUGGUAAUGCCAGCCUCAUGCAUCAAAGUUCAAUGGGUGCUCAGUGCUUGAGAAAGCAAUUGAAAGAAUUGAGAGAGUUUAAGAAAACAGUUGGAAGAGUUGCAAGAAUUCUUUUGAAAUCUUUUAGACUGACCAGUUUUAGAACAACAGAGCAUCACCCGAAUAAGGGAAAAGGGGAUGGGAACAAAUAAGCAAAGUAAACUACUCACACAAGAAACAUAUUGGAAGAAAAUAACUAGACAUGGUUGCAAAACAAGAGUUCAGUUCUUACUGUACCAAACUCUAAUACACUUAGCCUCAAACAGAGGUUUUAGGUUUACUUAUGAUAUUAUAGCAUCGUCAUCAUUCUUACUGUACCAAACUCUAAUACACUUAGCCUCAAACAGAGGUUUUAGGUUAACCAAGUAGCCAAAC